GUUCCCCGGAGACUACGGAUG
rnacentral:siRNA from 1 species